AGAACUUGUCUCAAUAAAAAAUAAAAGCAAACAUAAAUAAAUAAAUACAUAAAUAAAUAAAAGACUUGUAAAGUUGCAGCUUGACACCUGGGAUGUGAUCAGUAAGUAUCUUUUAUCUAACUCUUUUCUUUUCCAGCUCAGGCUUGAGAGAUUUUGCUGUGACUUUUUCCAGGGUGGUUUAACAUGCAUGUUCUCUCCAAAAUUCUUCUCCUGGUUGACUAUAAGACACAGCAUCUGGUGGAGCUGAAAUAGCAAUAGCCGUUACUCACGGAGAGCUUGCCACACGCUGGACCAUACAGUCACUUUACACGGAAGAUCUUACCUCGUUACCGUGACUGCGCAGUGUGAGGUGAACAACACCGUCAUUUUGCUGAAGCAGAACCUGAGAUUCCAGGGAGUGAAAUACUUGCCCAAGGUUACACAGCUCAUCAUGAGCGGUGCUGGGAUUCAAAUCUAGGUCUGGUCAGCCCUGGAAUCCAUGCCUUUGACCACAUGGCUGCCUCUGCUGAAGGGCAGAAGACUUGGGGAAGCAGGAAGAUUUCCCUGCUGCUCAUCCCGCUUCCACCUCCGCAAUCACCUAAACUGACAUCAGGACCCUCUUCCAGCCCCUCCUUCUCCCCCUUUCUCCACAGAGGGCAGAGGUGUGUUCAUGAAUCUGCUCUCCUCAGGCCCUUGAAUUUUGUAAGAAGUGUUGCAGAAAAAUGCUUUCACUCGUGGCUGAGUCUGAGGUUUUGUCCUUUUCCUAGUGAUUUUGAUGCCACUGCGCCACUGCGUGAACAUACCUGUGAGAUGUGUUAUUUUUGUUAUAAAUAAUUUGAAAUUAUUGGAAUGUAAGAAUCAGCAUUUGGAUAUAGCCGUUUGAGGGAAGAAGGAGGAAAAUUACCCGGUAUCGUUAGAGCUGCACCAAAAUUGCAUUGAGCCAAACUUGCCACCAAGAGCCCAACAGUCACCAUGAUGCUGAGCACGGAAGGCAGGGAAGGGUUCGCGGUGAAGGUCAGGGGCCUACCCUGGUCCUGCUCAGCUGAUGAAGUGAUGCGCUUCUUCUCUGAUCGCAAGAUCCAAAAUGGCACAUCAGGUAUUCGUUUCAUCUACACCAGAGAAGGCAGAUCAAGUGGUGAAGCAUUUGUUGAACUUGAAUCUGAAGAGGAAGUGAACUUGGCUUUGAAGAAGGACAGAGAAACCAUGGGACACAGAUACGUUGAAGUAUUCAAGUCUAACAGUGUUGAAAUGGACUGGAUGUUGAAGCAUACAGGUCCGAAUAGCCCUGAUACUGCCAACGAUGGCUUCGUCCGGCUUACUCCCAUUUGGCUGUAGCAAGGAAGAGAUUGUUCAGUUCUUUUCAGGGUUGGAAAUUGUGCCAAAUGGGAUGACACUGCCAGUGAACUUUCAGGGGCGAAGCACAAGGGAAGCCUUUGUGCAGUUUGUUUCACAGGAGAUAGCUGAGAAGGCCUUAAAGAAACACAAGGAAAGAAUAAGGCACAGGUACAUUGAGAUCUUCAAGAGUAGCUGAGCUGAAGUUCGAACCCACUAUGAUCCCCCUGGAAAGCUCAUGGCUAUGCAGCAGUCAGGUCCCUAUGAUAGGCCGGGGGCUGGCAGAGGGUAUAAUAGCAUUGGCAGGGGAGCUGGGUUUGAAAGGAUGAGGUGUGGUGCCUAUGGUGGAGGGUGUGGAGGCUAUGAUGACUAUGGUGGCUAUAAUUAUGGAUAUGGCUUUGGGUCUGAUAGAUUUGGAAGAGACCUCAAUUUUUUUUUGAGGAAUGUCUGAUCAUAGAUAUGGAGAUGGUGGGUCCAGUUUCCAGAGUACCACAGGGCACUGUGUACACAUGAGGUGGUUACCUUACAGAGCCACUGAGAAUGAUAUUUGUAAUUUCUUCUCACCUCUUCAUCCCAUGAGAGUACAUAUUGAAAUUGGACCCGAUGGCAGAGUUACUGGUGAGGCAGAUGUUGAAUUUGCUACUCAUGAAGAUGCUGUGGCAGCUAUGGCAAAAGACAAAGCUAAUAUGCAACACAGAUAUGUGGAGCUCUUCUUAAAUUCUACUGCAGGAACAAGUGGGGGUGCUUACGAUCACAGCUAUGUAGAACUUGUUUUAAAUUCUACAGCAGAGGCAAGUGGUAGAGCUUAUGGUAGCCAAAUGAUGGGAGGGAUGGGCUUAUCCAACCAGUCUAGUUAUGGAGGUCCUGCUAGCCAGCAGUUGAGUGGUGGUUAUGGAGGUGGUUAUGGUGGUCAGAGCAGUAUGAGUGGAAAUGACCAAAUUCUGCAGGAAAACUCCAGUGACUAUCAGUCAAACCUUGCUUAGGUAGAGAAGGAGCACCAAACAGCUAAUCCAUAUAUAAAAGCUGUACAUUUGUGGGAAUUGAAUAGAAUGGGAGGGAUGUCUAGUAUAUCCAGUAUGAUUGGUAAAUGGGAAAUAUAAUUGAUUCUGAUCACUCUUGGUCAGCUUCUCUUUCUUUAU